rnacentral:rRNA from 1 species
ACUUAAGCAUAUCAAUAAGCGGAGGAAAAGAAACCAACAGGGAUUGCCCUAGUAACGGCGAGUGAAGCGGCAACAGCUCAAAUUUGAAAUCUGGCGCAAGCCCGAGUUGUAAUUUGUAGAGGAUGCUUCUGGGUAGCGACCGAUCUAAGUUCCUUGGAACAGGACGUCAUAGAGGGUGAGAAUCCCGUAUGUGACCGGCCCGCACCCUUUACGUAGCUCCUUCGACGAGUCGAGUUGUUUGGGAAUGCAGCUCUAAAUGGGAGGUAAAUUUCUUCUAAAGCUAAAUACCGGCCAGAGACCGAUAGCGCACAAGUAGAGUGAUCGAAAGAUGAAAAGUACUUUGGAAAGAGAGUUAAAAAGCACGUGAAAUUGUUGAAAGGGAAGCGCCUGCAACCAGACUUCGCGGCAGUGUUCCGCCGGUCUUCUGACCGGUUCAUUCUCUGUCGCGAGGCCAUCAUCGUCUGGGCCCGCCGGAUAAGACCUUAGGAAUGUAGCUCACCUUCGGGGGAGUGUUAUAGCCUAUGGUGAUGCGGCGAGGCUCGGGCGAGGUCCGCGCUUCGGCAAGGAUGAUGGCGUAAUGGUUGUCGGCGGCCCGUCUUGAAACACGGACCAAGGAGUCUAACAUCUAUGCGAGUGUUCGGGUGUCAAACCCCUACGCGUAAUGAAAGUGAACGGAGGUGGGAACCGCAAGGUGCACCAUCGACCGAUCCUGAUGUCCUCGGAUGGAUUUGAGUAAGAGCAUAGCUGUUGGGACCCGAAAGAUGGUGAACUAUGCCUGAAUAGGGUGAAGCCAGAGGAAACUCUGGUGGAGGCUCGCAGCGGUUCUGACGUGCAAAUCGAUCGUCAAAUUUGGGUAUAGGGGCGAAAGACUAAUCGAACCAUCUAGUAGCUGGUUCCUGCCGAA